rnacentral:rRNA from 2 species
UACAGAGGUGCCAAGCGUUAGGCGGAAUCACUGGGCUUAAAGCGCGCGUAGGCGGACGUUUAAGUGUCUUGUGAAAUCCCACGGCUCAACCGUGGAACUGCUGGGCAUACUGGACGUCUCGAGGCACUCAGGGGCGAGCGGAACAAGUGGUGGAGCGGUGAAAUGCGUAGAUAUCACUUGGAACGCCAAUGGUGAAGACAGCUCGCUGGGGGUGUCCUGACGCUGAGGCGCGAAAGCCAGGGGAGCGAACGGG